AUGCAAAUAAAACAGAACAUUACAUUUACUGUAACUGUUUAUUGGAAUGUGAGUGUGUUGAUUCCAGGCAUGGAUCAAAUAAAAAAAUCUGAUGUUACUUUGUUUCUGUUUCAAUUUGCAGGGGGGUAUUUUUUAGUCUGGCAGGCACUCCUGGUUUUCAGCUUGUUAGAAAGCAUGUUUGUUGUUUACGUUCUACAUGGAAAGUAUCAGACCCAAAUGAAGGUUCCAUCCUGGGUCAGAACACUGGCCAUGUGUUAUCUGGCCAAACUCAUAAAUUACAAAGUGGACUGGUCCUGUCAGCAUGAGAAUGAAGAGAGGAUCUUCACCAUAAAACUACAUAAAUCCAGAGAUGACACCUCCUGUUUAGAACCCGACAGAAAGACGUUAAACUCAGAAGACACCAUGAGAGUUCUUUGCAAGAUUUGUAAUGAUGUGGAAGCAAUAUGCAGCAGCCUGAAAAAGCACCAUAAGAAGGAGAAAGGGCGCCAGGACUGGACUGAGGUCACCUGCAUUUUAGACAGAUUUCUUUUCCAUGUUUAUAUUGUGUUUGUAGCUGUAUGUGUACUCUGCCUCUGCGUUCUGUGGAACCAGUGGUAUAUCAGAUAAGGAAUGGAAAUAGAUAAGUCUACUCUGCCUCUACAUUCUCUGGAACCACUGGUAUAUCAGAUAAGGAAUGGAAACAGACAAUAACGGUAUGUCCUUCUGGGUCAUAGGCAGAAAAUAGAGUACAAUAGGAAGGUUAUACUUUGUAAUGCCACGUUCAUGUAACUCCUACGCUAUAUUUAGUAGGUUUUGCUGUCUGGUCAACUUUGAAAUUGGUUACGUACAUACUGU
rnacentral:lncRNA from 1 species